AUGUGUCAACAAUCAAACAAACAAACGAAUACAAAAUAAAAGAAAAAAUAAAAAACAGCAGGUGCUGAAGUCACCUGGCUCACCGUGCGGGACCGCGCAGCUCUCCUGGCAGUGACCGUUCCUCUCUAAGGAGAAGAACGGUUCCGCUUGAGCUGUGUCCUCGAGUUGGACCGGAACAUUUGCUGCACAGAAAGUGGACCACGUGACCCUCGGUAGCGUCCAUGAUUGUGAGACGUUUCAAGACAAAAACGGAUCCUCACGGUUCAUAUAUUUGAAGCAGAAGAAGAAGAAGAGGAGGAGGACCAGCAGGAGGGUUAGGAGGAAGCCGGCCCACAAGCUGGCGGGGACCAUCCACGGGCACACUGGAGGAGGAGGAGAGCCUCAUGAGGGGAUUCAUCACCCUGCUGUGACCAACAUUCACAUCCAUCCGUCCACCACUGUCACCCAACUCAUCCGCUCUUCGUGACCAACAUGUUUUCAAGUCUCCGCACAUGGCGUCUUCACGUGACGUCCCUGCUGUUGCCAGGGGGCGCACACUGUGUCGUUGGUGCGUGUCGCUGUGACAACAAAAUGAGCGUCAAACCCAGAUCCAUUCAUCGUGUUUCGUCAUCAACAAGACCUACAUGGAACUUUGACCCCUUGGCCAGGAGGACAGCUGGUCACCGGACGGCAGAUGUCACAGUCAGGCGACGCACAGUAGAAGCGGGACUCACACUGGCACACCCGGUUAGUCUGAGGCCGACAUUCCUCUAAGACCCUCAGGUGGUUGGCUGAAAAGUCACAAGGCUGGUGUGAAGUGUACAAUUCUCCCAGAGCUAAAAUACUGCAUAUGGUCACACAAACAUGGCAACACAGACUUGCUCUUUUCAGACUCUUAUCCAUACAUAAACCAUGAGAAAAAAAAUUAAAUACAAUGUCGUAAUCUAAAAUGUCAGAGUCGUGAGUCAUCCCAGCGCUACUUCAAAUUCAUCCUGUCACUUUCAUAAAAUUCAAGUCAAACGAAGAGCCUCUUCUCAUUUCGGCUGCACCUGAACGCAUCCUCCCAACAAGGGAUUUUGUGAACAGGGGAGCGUGAAUGAUGUGGAAUAUUAAGAGCAAAAAUGGAAGAUAUGAGACAGACAAUGUCUUCAUUGGAGGAGCUUACAGGGAUAACACCGACGGCACACCAGGCAUUUGCUCAUGCUGUUCUUGGUGGUUGUGAAGCGUCCAUCUCCGCACUCCUGGCACUGAGUCGUCUCCCUGUCUGUGCACUCUUUUGCUAGGCGUGUUCCUGAGGAGAGGCAGAUAAAGUAUGUUUCCAAUACACACUCUUGUUCCUCCUACUGAACCAGAC